CUAAAGUUUGAUUUUAGCUUAGUAAUUUGCGGGUUUUAAUAAUUAUAUACAUGAAGGGUUUUCCGGUUUCGUUAAUAUGGAGGUGAGAUUAAAAAAUCUUAAUGGUGUUUAUUCUUUCUUUCCUUUUGUUUUUAAAGGUUUAAAACAUAUAAGUUCCUACGUCUUCAGUAAAAGAUAUUAAAUAUACUAGUCUUUAUAGGUUUAAUAAAAAAAUAAAGAAUCGGUAAAACUGGUGCCAGCGACCGCGGUUAGACAUAAGAUUCAAGUGAAUUAAAACGGUAUUUAUGGUAAAUUUAAGUAGUGAUAAAAUAAAGAAUUAAAAUGGGUAUAAUCUGAAAAAUUAUAAUUUAGCUUUUUUUAUCUUAAAUAAUAAAUCCAUGAAGGCUUAAGCUAAAACCAGGAUUUGAUACCCAAUUAUUUUAAGCUUCUAAUUAAUACUUGGGUAGUACGGGCACAUGUCUAAAACUCAAAAGAAUUGGCGGUAUUCUAACGUCUCAGAGGAACUUGUUUUUUAAUUUGAUGGUCCGCGUAAAAUGUACUUUCUUUAGAAAACAAUUUCAGCUUGUGUAUUGCCGUUUAUUGCUUACUUUUAAAGAAAUAAAUAAAGUUUGGUUCUUGGUAUGGGCCGUUAUAUCAGGUCAAAAUACAGCUUAUAAGGAAGGAUUAUAAUGAGUUACUAUUAAUAUAAAUCGGAUUUUGAAAGUGAAAUUUUAAAUCAAGGGGGAUUUGAAAGUAAAUAAAAAAUUAGAAUUUUUUUUUGAAUUCUGUUAUCUAGAAUAAGUACAAAUCGCCCGUCGUCCCCGCUGAAAGGUGGGGUAAGUCGUAACAUAGUGGGUGUAACGGAAGUUGUACCUAACAACAA
rnacentral:ncRNA from 1 species